GACGAACGCUGGCGGCGUGCCUAAUACAUGCAAGUAGAACGCUGAAGAGAGGAGCUUGCUCUUCUUGGAUGAGUUGCGAACGGGUGAGUAACGCGUAGGUAACCUGCCUUGUAGCGGGGGAUAACUAUUGGAAACGAUAGCUAAUACCGCAUAACAAUGGAUGACACAUGUCAUUUAUUUGAAAGGGGCAAUUGCUCCACUACAAGAUGGACCUGCGUUGUAUUAGCUAGUAGGUGAGGUAAUGGCUCACCUAGGCGACGUUACAUAGCCGACCUGAGAGGGGGAUCGGCCACACUGGGACUGAGACACGGCCCAGACUCCUACGGGAGGCAGCAGGAGGGAAUCUUCGGCAAUGGGGGCAACCCUGACCGAGCAACGCCGCGGGAGUGAAGAAGGUUUUCGGAUCGUAAAGCUCGGUUGUAAGUCAAGAACGGGUGUGAGAGUGGAAAGUUCACACUGUGACGGUAGCUUACCAGAAAGGGACGGCUAACUACGUG
rnacentral:rRNA from 1 species